rnacentral:rRNA from 3 species
UAGAUCUCAAAUCAGGUAGGACUACCCG